GAACUCAUCUUUGCUGCCCUCCCCUGUGCGCACUUCGCUUCUGCACUCCACGAAGGCCAGGAAGCUUUGACCCUUCUUAGGCCCCCACAGAGGGGGAGAGGUAGGGGCUCCCCACCUUCCCAGAAAGCAUUUGCUUUAAGGCCAUACCCCAGGGCUCCUUGAUUUUUUUUUCUUUCUUCUGCUUUCCCCUCAGCUGCAAAUACUUUCAGUUCCCUUCCGGUCAGCCCUUCUUCUUUUUUCCCAUUCUUUGAUCCAUUUCCAAUGACCCCAUCCGAGGCUGGGCUCACGGGAGGCCGACGGCAGCCUCCGCUACCAGUGAAGAAAGCAGGGUCCUCUGGACAGAGCACAGAUUUGGAGACUAGAGGGACAGUUCAGCGACUUAACAACCUGCGUGACCCUGGCCAAGUUGCUUUCUCAGCCUGUGGGGUCAGUCCUUGGCUUGUGUUUCUCACAAUCAAUAACUUGUGGUUUGAUUCCUCAAAUCAAUAACUGUAGCUGAAAGUGCGCACGAAAAAGAAUUCUGGACACAAGCUCCAUACCCAGCGUGGAGCCCCACGCAGGGCUUGAACUCACAACCCUGAGAUCAAGACCUGAGCUGAGAUCAAGAGCCGGAUGCUUCAUCAGCUGAGCCAUCAGGGGCCCCUGCCCUGCCUAUUUAAAUUCUUCUUCACUCACCGCGUGCACCACGGCUCCCCUGUUUGAUUUCCUUGCAGCCUCUGGGCAGAGGUGGAGACAGAGAAGAACAGGCCCGUGUUUCCGGCGGAGUAGUGACCACAGCCAGAGAAGACGCAGACUUUCAGUCUUACUGCAUAUUUGACACAACAACCAGCCUCUCCUUGCUCCGAGCCCCAAACCAUCGCACCUCUGCAGCAGAACCUGUGAGGUGAGGCCCUGAGACUCCCAGCAUCGUCGCCACUCCGCUUCUCUGAUGCCUUGUCCAGCGCCGGCUUCCUUCCUGCCCCGGCCAUACACCGUGAUGCUCCCGCGAGGCCCUGCCCUGGGGACUGGACAGUCCAGGAAAUCAGGAACUCACAUCCAGACGAGUUGCUGAGAAGUUAACAGAAAAUUACAUGGAGAAGAAUAAGUGAUAAAAGAUGAGCCCUGGAGAAGAGAAGAGAGACACCGAGGUGGGACAGAACAGAGAGGCCGCACGGGGGGCAAGUGGCUAACCACAUCUGAGCCUCAGUUUCCUCACACCUAAAAUGGAGCCAAUACACACGAUGUUGUGAAGAUCAAGGGAGGUGACAUUUAGAAAGAUGCUUUAGUUCUCUAAAAAAAAACAGUGAAGAGAAAUACAAAUCGAAAAUGCCUUUAUUAGGGGCGCCUGGGUGGCUCAGUCAUUAAGCGUCUGCCUUCAGCUCAGGUCAUGACCCCAGAGUCCUGGGAUCAAGCCCCACGUCACUGGGAAGCCUGCUUCUCCCUCUCCCACUCUCCCUGCUGUGUUCUCUCUCUUGCUGUGUCUCUGUCAAAUAAAUAUAUAAAGAUAUAUAUUUUUUAAUGCCAUUGUUAUUCUCGUUGUGGAGAGAACAGUCCUGGGCACAACACGACCACACAGCUCCCUCUGGAAACCCCGAGGCUAAAGUCACUGAAGUGGGGAGUGGCUGGGAGGAGACACAGUUCUUUCCAGAGCCUCCUCCGGGCCACACAGAGACAGAGCCUAGACCCAUUCCAGGUUCCGCCAACCCCCUAACUGCUGCAGGCCAGAUAACACCAGAGGCCAUGAAUCAGCACUAAGCCUACAGCUCAAGCCGACAGCAGGAGGAGGCCUCUGUGCGUCUCAAAGACAUCCUCUCUGGCCCCAAGAGACCAGGACCAUGGGGAGCCUCGAGUAGGGGAUUCCUGGACCUGAGGAUUUCCCUCAAAGAAAACAGAUGAAAAAAAGACCAGUAAGAGCUGAUAUUGUUUUGGGGGGUUUUUGUGUGUUUCUUUUUUUUUUUUUUCCUUAAAGAUUUUAUUUUGAAGUAAUUGCUACACCCAAUGUGGGGCUCAAACCUCCAGAUCAAGAGCCCCACACUCUACUGAAUAAGCCCGCCAGGUGCCCCUUUUAUGUCUUACAAAAUAAAAACAUUCUGAGGUAUCUGGGUGGGCCAGUCAGCUAGGCAUCU